rnacentral:sRNA from 1 species
CCGGACUUUGCGAGCAGCCUGGAGAGGAUCCGCGACCGCCGCGGAGGCUUCGGGGCUGCUUCCCUCGCGCUUAGCCCGCAGCGCGGGUGGAGAGGGGCGGGGAGGGGGUCGGGGGCACGAGAAGAACUUGAAACUGUGUGAAGGAAUCCGGAGCAGAUGAGAAGGGAGGAAAAUAAAACAAAGUGGAGGCUGCGGAACAGACUCCACUGUGGCUGACUGUGCCGGCUGACGCUCCAGCAGAGGGGCUGGGUUGGAUAUUUUUUCUCCCAUCCUCUCGCUCUCUCUUUUAAAGCUACACCAGCUCUCUCUCUUUCUCUACUAUCUCUGUAUCACCAAAUCCUUGCUGGCUCUUAUGGGCAUGAAACACUCCUCCCGCUGCCUGCUCCUAAGGAGGAAAAUGGCGGAGAACGCGGCCGAGAACACCGAGGUGAACAGCCCCCCCUCCCAGCCCCCUCAGCCCGUCGUCCCUGCUAAGCCCGUGCAAUGCGUCCAUCAUGUGUCCACUCAACCCAGCUGCCCGGGACGGGGCAAGAUGUCCAAGCUGCUGAACCCAGAGGAGAUGACCUCGAGAGAUUAUUACUUCGACUCCUACGCCCACUUUGGGAUCCACGAGGAAAUGCUGAAGGAUGAGGUGCGGACACUCACUUACCGGAACUCCAUGUACCACAACAAGCACGUGUUCAAGGACAAAGUGGUACUGGAUGUGGGGAGUGGUACUGGGAUCCUUUCCAUGUUUGCUGCCAAGGCAGGGGCCAAGAAGGUGUUUGGGGUGAGCACGCCACUUCCUCCUGCAUGCUGGCUUCCACAGAGCCAGCCUCUUGCCCUCUGCCUCCACCUGCCCUUCUAGAAGUACAAAAUUUGGUCCAUCUCUUUUGCUGGGGUCACACCUUGGAGGAGUAGAAGGAAUCAGGUGUGACUCUCAGGAAGGGGUGCAGGCUGCCUGUCCCCUAUGCAUGGCUCCUGGAUCCUUACAACCACUGACAUAUUUGGAGGAAUUGUGGCUUUCCUGAGACCAUUACAAUGUCAUCAUGACCUUUCAGUGCUUAGCCCCAAGGUCAGCUUCAGAGGCAGUGCAGGUGGUUACUCGGGGGAGCUCUGGUUUGAAUCUCUGCAUUUCCAUUCACUAGGCAUGUGACCUUGGACUAUUCGCUUCUCUGCACCUCACUUUCUCUCCAUCUAUAAAAUGAGCUUAAUAGCAGUCCCUUGCCCAUAGGGUGACUGUGAGGAUUAAAGGAGUUUAAUACAUAUGUAAAGUGCUUAAAACAGUGCCCAGCAUAUGGCAAAUGCUCGAUGUCUAUUAUUAUAGUUGAGAUGGGGCCUUAGAGAUAAUGGGAACAUCUCCUUCUUGUUUUCUUUAGAGGGCAAGUCGGUCAACUUAAAUUCUGUUGCUUUGGCUGUGGCAGCGUUUCCAGGCUAGAUGUGGAGGCUGACCCUCUGGGAAGCCUGCUACCUAUCCCCUGGCUCUCCCAAGGCAGCUUUGCCCAGCCUGAUGACAGAGGGCCUGGGAAGGUCCAGAGCUGGAAAGAAACUAAAAAGAAGAGCUGCAAGAUGCUGGCUGACAUUUGAAAAAUGCAGUGGGCCCGGGCUGGAGCACAAGCAUUCAUCUUGGUCAAAAUGAAAGUCAAACCACAAUGAGAUUCCCAGUCUGCAUGUGAGCCGGCCCAUCUGCAGAGGCCGCAGCGACCUGAGCAGCAUUCAGUGGGUCUUUGCUCCCAUGCAUUUGGUUGGGCCAUCCCAUAGCCAGCCCUGGGGACCCCCCCGCCCACUGACUCCCAGGUUGACUAGAUCCCCUUGGUCCUCCUGGCCACCUGCUGCCUCCAGAGGUCUGCUCCUAAGUCACCCAGCAGGGCAGCAUUCCUCCUCCAAGCCUGACUUGGAAAACCCUUGGGCCAUGGCUGCCGAGGGUCUUCUGGAAGCUUGGGCUGCCCUCAAGCUGCCUCAGGUGCAGCUUUGACCAGGAAAAGCUGUGCUGUUCUCAGACGAGGCACUUGCUGGGGGCAGGGGCCCAUCCGGAUGCCCAAGGGCAAGUCAUGUCAUCAUCACUGGUAUAACUGCUGGUUCUCCAGGAUGGAGACCUCAGGCAAGGCUCUUAGUGAGGUCACAGAGCAUCAGAGCUGGACGUGAGUCCUCUGGUGACCCCCACGUGCUUUCUUUCCCAGCACGGAGGCCCCGUCUCAGUGCCGGCCUUGGUGGGGGACAGGGCUGAGCAUGGUGUCCCUGGCGCCUGAGUCAUCCGGGGGCUCCAGCCAAGGAGCUGUCAGGAGGAGGCUCCCACUUGGCGCCUUCCAGCUGCGGUGACUUGGCGCGAUCUGUCUGCCUCCCGCCCUUUUCUCUAACAGCUCUUUUAUAAAUGGCUCCACCACAUUUAGCUGGGCUCCUUUCCGGAUGGCUCAUUUCACAGUUUCUCCUGUUCCAGACCCCCUUCCACCCACUGCUGUCCUCCAGUGGGGAGACGAGAUGGCGGGAGAGAGAGACAGAGAGAGAGGGAGGGAGGAAGACCAUCGUCCCAGAGUGGAGACAGGCACAGAGAAAGAGACAGAUGUGACAAGAGCAAUGGAGAGGAGACAGAGAAAGAGAAAGGUGCAGAGAAAAGCUAGAGAAAUGGGAGAGGGGCCCGGAAAAGCAGAAAGAAGACAAAGUAGAAAGCACAAAAGAAAAGAAUCAGCAGAGGCGGGUGGAUCACCUGAGGUCAGGAGUUCAAGACCAGCCUGGCCAACGUGGCGAAACCCUGUCUCUACUAAAAAUACAAAAAUUAGCCAGGCUUGGUGGCGGGCGCCUGUAAUUCCAGCUACUUGGGAGACUGAGGCUGGAGAAUCGCUUGAACCCAGGAGGCGGAGGUUGCAGUGAGUCCAGAUCGCGCCAUUGCACUCCAGCCUGGGCGACAAAGUGAGACUUUGUCUCAAAAAAAAAAAAAAAAAAGAAUCAGAAAAGCGAAGACAGGUGGUAAAGAGAGAAGAGGGAAGAAAUGGAAGAGGAGAAGAUGGAAGAAAGGAAAACGAGGAGGGAAGGACACCGCCCUGCACUCUGAGUGUUGAGCAAGCUUCGGCUGAGUUUACCCUCACACACUCACGUGCAUUGGGGGCUUCGACUUCUCUCGGGAGGACACUGAGGCGCAGUUAGGAAGGGCAGUGGCCAGGCAUAAAUCCAGGCUGCCGGCUCCAGGUCUCAUGCUCCUCAUCACUCAACACGGUCGCCUCUUGCAGAUCAGAUGAUGACAUGGCCAGAGGGGAAGAAGAGGAGGGAAUCACACCCCACAGACAGUGCAGCCUGAAGGCCAGGGACCUGGCAGCCCAGGAAAGGGCUGGUUCUCCUGGGACCUGCACCCUGGCUGGAGUCGGCCUCCUUGGAUGCAGCUCUAACCAAGUGACCCCUUCUGACCCCGUAGGUGCCCUCACCCUUCCUCAAGGCGUGGCCAGAGGCGUCAGAAACUCCCUCAGUGCCCCUUUGCGAGUACUUCUCAAGGGAAUGGUCCCUGCCCGAGGCCUGGGGGUAGUCUGAGGGGCCCCCAAGUGUGGAGGUGAGUAGAGCCCAGGGCCUUAGCACAGGCCAGCCUCUGUAAGAGGGCCGGCUCCGGAGGUGAAGACGGCUCUUGGCAGCUGCCCCUCCAUGUCCAGAACCCCUGGCAGUGUGCCUGAGACGCUAACCCUGGGCUGGAGCUUGGCUUCCAACCAUUCCCAUGAGGGCCUGCUCUCAGGGAAGGUCCACUCAUCUCUCAAGUACCUUGGCCCUUUGCUUAGGAGGUCUGGAGAGCCUGGAAAGACGUCUGAAUUAAAAGGAAUAAUUUCUUUCAAAGAUGAAGCGGCGAGAGCUAAUGUAGGGGGUGGGAGGGGAAGAGAAAGAUCUAAAACCAGCCCUGAGGUCCUGACCUGGCUUUUUCCAGAUGGUCCCGUCCUGGCACGCGGCUCGUUUACCCUGGAAGGGCUGGGCUGCGGUGGGGAGGAUCAUGUCGAGGGAGGCUCGCAACUCUGGCUUGGAUCUGCCUUCCCGCGACCCCACUGUGGGGAGGACAUGCUGCCUCCUGCCAUUCUCUGCUGGCUAGGAGCAUGAGGUCUGCCAGCCCCUUUUGAGUCUCCAGCACAGAGAUCAAUCCCUCCAUCACGGGUGGUGACUGGAUGCCAGUCUUUUUGCAAAGGCAGCCCAAUUUCACGGAAGGCCGCUGGCCUUGAGGAGGGAGGGCUGGGUUUCGGUUUUCAAUCUGCCACAAAGUUGUGAUGCAGCCGUGGGCAAGUCACCACCCCUGUCUGGGCCUCAGCGUCUCUAUCCAUUGAAUCAGUGUGGGUCUUGCUGUGAUUUUUUUUGACGCCUUGCUCCUUUGUCCUGUGCCCUUUCCAGAUCGAAUGCUCCAGUAUUUCUGACUACUCAGAGAAGAUCAUUAAGGCCAACCACCUGGACAGCAUCAUCACCAUAUUUAAGGGUAAAGUGGAAGAGGUGGAGCUGCCUGUGGAGAAGGUGGACAUCAUCAUCAGCGAGUGGAUGGGCUACUGUCUGUUCUAUGAGUCCAUGCUCAACACGGUGAUCUUUGCCAGGGACAAGUGGCUGAAACCUGGAGGGCUUAUGUUUCCAGACCGGGCAGCUUUGUACGUGGUAGCGAUUGAAGACAGACAGUACAAGGACUUCAAAAUCCACUGGUGGGAGAAUGUCUAUGGCUUUGACAUGACCUGCAUCCGGGACGUGGCCAUGAAGGAGCCUCUAGUGGACAUCGUGGAUCCAAAGCAAGUGGUGACCAAUGCCUGUUUAAUAAAGGAGGUGGAUAUUUACACAGUGAAGACGGAAGAGCUAUCGUUCACAUCUGCAUUCUGCCUGCAGAUACAGCGCAACGACUACGUCCACGCCCUGGUCACCUAUUUUAAUAUUGAAUUUACCAAGUGCCACAAGAAAAUGGGGUUUUCCACAGCCCCUGAUGCUCCCUACACUCACUGGAAGCAGACCGUCUUCUACUUGGAAGAUUACCUCACUGUCCGGAGGGGGGAGGAAAUCUACGGGACCAUAUCAAUGAAGCCAAAUGCCAAAAAUGUGCGAGACCUCGAUUUCACAGUAGACUUGGAUUUUAAGGGACAGCUGUGUGAAACAUCUGUAUCUAAUGACUACAAAAUGCGUUAGCACACGUGGGAAGCUGCAGAGAGCAACGAGAAAAGGAACUCUCACCUCGAUCUGCCGUGCCGUCCCAAAGAAUACCGUUUGCAGGACUACACACUUGAAAACCAGAGUUUUCAACUCUGCCUUGAAGAUUGGUGAACCCCCCAGGGCUCCCGUGGGCUCUGCCACUGGACAGAAGGCCUCCAGCUCCUCCGCUCUGCCCUGAGAGCCCUUCACGAAGGCUUUGUGUUGCCAACAAAGAGCGACCUCGCGAGCUGUGGCUGGGCCCCGAGGGUGGAAACGUAUUCGCGUCUCCCCGUCUCCUCCUUAACUGUGACUCUCCGGGUCUUCUGAGUUUUGCAUGCUGCGGGUGUCUAGGACAGAUUGCUUCCACUAGAACCUGGAGACAUAGCAUCUUUGAUAGCAUAAGCCAGAUUAUCUGUGUGUGCGGUGGUGUGUGUGUGCGUGCAUGUGUGAAUGUGAGCAGUAUAGUUGAUGUUUACCCACAAAUACCUGUAUAUGCAUGCAUAUACAACCAAGUGGGUAGACCUAGGUGUUCACUCAGAAGGGUGUGUGCGUGUGUGCGUGCGCGUGUGCCUAGAAUAUAUAUUACUCUCAGAGGAGAUUCUGUUGCUUUUGAAUAGGAAUUUGUUUUGUGAUUAGUUUGGCCCUUCCCCACCCCUUACCAGAUGUUAAGCAGCUAUGAAACAUUCUCUGUACUAGUUCUGGUCUCCUUUUGACUGGACUGUGGCUCUGAACCUUGAGCAUAGUACCACGGACUCCGUGGGCGCUCAAUAAACACACAUGAGAAC